GUGCCAUUUCAAUCAGCAUGAUCCUAAUCGAUUCAAUGACUUGAUGAAGUCAGUGAGAGAAUUGUGGUCUACUGAUUGAUCUCUUUUUUUUUUAAUUCUCAAAUUAAAUCUUCUAAAUUAUCAGAUCUCUUAAAUGAGAUAGUUAUGGUAAUAACUAGAUCAUUACCUUUCAUUAAGUUGGAUGAUAAUGGGUCCAUUAAUAUGAUAAUCAUUGGAGGCCCAAAGACUUGGUACUCAUUUACUAUUGGAAUUAUCAUUCAUAAU
rnacentral:lncRNA from 1 species